rnacentral:miRNA from 1 species
GAGAUGGGAGGAUUGCUUGAGGCUGGGAGGACGAGGCUGCAGUGAGCUGUGAUUGCACCACUGCACUCCAGCCUGAGUGACAGAGCGAGACCUUGU